AACGAACGCUGGCGGCAUGCCUAACACAUGCAAGUCGAACGGGAUCCUGGUUUCGGCCAGGUGAGAGUGGCGGACGGGUGAGUAACGCGUGGGAACCUGCCCAGUGGUGGGGGAUAACUGCGGGAAACUGCAGCUAAUACCGCAUGAGCCCGAAAGGGGAAAGAUUGAUCGCCAUUGGAGGGGCCCGCGUUCGAUUAAGUAGUUGGUGAGGUAACGGCUCACCAAAGCCUUCGAUCGAUAGCUGGUCUGAGAGGAUGAUCAGCCACACUGGGACUGAGAUACGGCCCAGACUCCUACGGGAGGCAGCAGUGGGGAAUAUUGGACAAUGGGGGCAACCCUGAUCCAGCGACGCCGCGUGUGUGAAGAAGGCCUGCGGGUUGUAAA
rnacentral:rRNA from 1 species